GAUGAACGCUAGCGGCGUGCUUAACACAUGCAAGUCGAGCGAAGCACUUUACUUAGAUUCCUUCGGGAUGAAGAGUGAUUUGACUGAGCGGCGGACGGGUGAGCAACGCGUGGGCAAUCUGCCUCAUACAGGGGGAUAACAGUUAGAAAUGACUGCUAAUACCGCAUAAGACCACAGUGCCGCAUGGCACAGGGGUAAAAACUCCGGUGGUAUGAGAUGAGCCCCGCGUCUGAUUAGGUAGUUGGUGGGGGUAACGGCCUACCAAGCCGACGAUCAGUAGCCGACCUGAGAGGGCGACCGGGCCACAUUGGGACUGAGACACGGGCCCAAACUCCUACGGGAGGCAGCAGUGGGGAAUAUUGCACGAUGGGGGAAACCCUGAUGCAGCGACGCCGCGUGAAGGAUGAAGUAUUUCGGGUAUGUAAACUUCUAUCAGCAGGGAAG
rnacentral:rRNA from 1 species